rnacentral:antisense_RNA from 1 species
ACCCAGAGCCUAGGUAUCGUAUACGCCCCCAAAAUAAAGAGCCUUGAAUACUAGAAGAAAAGCACCUAUACCUAGCAAAAUUAAGUGAAUACCCAAAAUUGUGGUCAUUUUAUUUCUAUCUUUCCA